UGCGGGGUCGUAUAACGGCAGUACACAUCCCUCUGGAGGAUGUUAUCUUGGUUCAAAUCCAAGCCCCGCAG
rnacentral:tRNA from 2 species